AGCGUCCUGGCUCCUGGCCACAGUCAAGUUAACCUCCCCUCCCCCCACCUUAACAAGCCAGCACACCGACACGGAGGAGCACACUUGUGUCUCAGUGAUCCAGGAUGAGUUUUAUCGAAUAACAAUGGUUCAUCUUGAAUCAAAGUUCAUGUCCAAGCUGGACGAAUUUACGCCUCAACUAUUAAAACUCUUCCAUACCAAGGGCGGAAGCAUGGGGCUGCAGUUGCAGGCUUACUCAAGACUCCAAGCAACCCAAAUAUCCACAUGAAGAGAGAGAUCGUCAUUAGAUGUUCGAUGAAGUUCCUCGGGGAAUCGUAAGAGCAACUCUUAAGAGAGUACGAUGAUGCUGAUGAGGACCGAAUACUCCAAGAUCUUGCACUUCAAACAUUGAAGAUCUACAUCAAACCGAACCCAUCAGAGGCACCAGACAUCGGUAUUGUGGUGGAGGGCGUCAAAGUGCUGACUGGUCUGGAAAAUCUUCCGAGGGCUUGCUCCCUUCUGGUUGGAAUUGCUUAUGUGUUGAAUCUCGCAUAUCCAAAGGAACUCAAGAACACAUUUGAAGUGUUUCAAAAACUUUUCCUUGGCCUCGAUGAUACAAAGCUCUCCCCAAAAAUCAAUAGCUUGAAGAACAGGCUACUGGCCUAACAGAAGAGACCUUUGUUGUGAAAUUGUUAAUAGUUUAACAACAAAGGAAAAUUCAACAGAUUAACAUGUUAAUCUGUUGAAUUUUCCUUUGUUGUUAAUUUACAAUGUUGUUCAAUUCUUCGUGUUGUUAAAAUAUGUUCAUAUGUUGAAUUUUUUCUUGGUUGCUUCAAU